rnacentral:lncRNA from 1 species
AGUGUGGGAUUCGAGGGAGCCACCCUGCGGAUCCCGCGGUGUGGGGACCGAGACCCGCGGCGCCCGCCGCGGCCCCGGCUAGGGCGCGGGCGGGGACUCCGGGGCGGGGGCGGGGGCGGGGGCGCGGGGCCGGGCCGGGCGGGGGCGGGGGCGGGGAGCGGGGGGACAGAGGGCGGAGGCUCCGGGGCGGGGGCCGCGCCGCUCACGCCCAGCCCCUCGGCCGCGCCGCGCCUCGCCGGACAGGUUGGGCCGGCGGGGCGGCGCCCGGCUCGGGGGAAUAAUGAGUGUCUGUCAGGCCGUCCCCGGGUGACUGGGCGGGGGCGGGGCGGAGGCGGCGCGGGAGGCGGGGGUGGCGGGGGAAGGGCGCAGGGCGGGGUGCGUGUUUGCGCGAGUGACUCGGCCGACCCCUCCGGCGGCUGCCUCCACCCAAGUGGGUGGGGACCCGCCCAGCCCGGGCGGCCGCGGCGGCUCCCUCUCCCCUCCCUGACCCUCCCACCCCGGGUCCCAGCCUCUACUUACCCCGCCAGCCCCGGGAGGCUCGCAGAGCGAGCGGCGCCGGCGUCAUGUGACUGCCCGGAGUUGGUGCCAGGAGCCAGAGGGGAGCCAGGAGCGGAGCCGCGCGGAGCCGGGGCCCGAGCCGGAGCGCAGCGCGAGCGCCUGCCGCACGCGCGCCCGUCCCCGUCCCCGUCCCUGUGCCCUGCGGCCGCCACCGCCACAGCCGCCCGGGCUGGCGCGCUGAACAUUACUGCAUUCGCGGGCUCAAGGCAGAUCGGAUUCGGGCCUUUAUUUCUCGUCUGCAGCGCUCAGCACCGCGCCUCGAAAAGUAAGUCCCCUCUCCCUCACCUUUCCUCGCCCCGACUCCUGCUGUCGCCCGUUUGGGUUCGUCCGGUCUCGUUUUUUCCCUGGGGUGGGGGGGCCGCAGUGAAUGGGCUGGGGGGUGCAGCGCGGGGGUGGGGGCGCCUGUGGGCUUGGGAAAGUGCAACAGCUCCUCGAAGCCGGGGGUGGGGACGGAGGGAGAGGCGAGGGGAGGGGAGGGGGGACCCCGGGUUCAGCGGUUUAAAGUGUGGGAUUCGAGGGAGCCACCCUGCGGAUCCCGCGGUGUGGGGGGACCGAGACCCGCGGCGCCCGCCGCGGCCCCCGGCUAGGGCGCGGGCGGGGGCUCACCUGUGUGGUCCCCCGGCUGCCGCCCGCCCGCCCGCUCGCGAUUCCCUCCAAAGCCUCAGAAAUCUCAGUGCUCUCCGCGUGUGGCAACGUUGUUUGGAGAAAGGUAGCGCGGAGGCCGCGCACUCCUGCUCCUCCCCCUCCGGGUCCCCCACCCCCCGCUCCCAUGCCCUCCCCACCCCGCCCCCCGCCGCCCCCCUCUUCGGACGGGGCGCGCGACCGCUCGCCCGCCGGAGCAAAACUUGGAGCAGCCUCCCGGGGCCUCUGGGAAGAAACUUGGGGCCAUUGGGACUGAAGGCAGCAUCCCAUUCUCGAUCCUGGAGCCCAAGAGCUGCCAGGGCGUCUGGAUCCUCGGGGGCAGGAGAAAAGAGCUGGCCGGGUUUGGAGAGUCCUCCUCGGGGGCACAGAGAGAACCUGCCGCAGUGCCUGGAGCAAGGAUUGCAGCGAGGCUGGAGGCGGAGAGCGCCUUAG